GACAGAGGGGGCAAGCGUUGCUCGGAAUUACUGGGCGUAAAGGGCGCGUAGGCGGGAUGGCAAGUCGGUCGUGAAAUCCCUCGGCUCAACCGAGGAACGUCGAUCGAUACUGCUGUUCUUGAGGAUUGCAGAGGAGACUGGAAUUCCCGGUGUAGCGGUGGAAUGUGUAGAGAUCGGGAGGAACACCGGUGGCGAAGGCGGGUCUCUGGGCAAUUCCUGACGCUGAGGCGCGAAAGCGUGGGGAGCAAACGGG
rnacentral:rRNA from 1 species